UCAAAUUUGCAAUUUUAUAGCAGUUUUGGGUAAUACUGGUGAUAUUACAGCGGAGGGAUAGGUGUGUAAAAUGUCUUUCUGCGUAGCAAUUAUUGUAUCGGAAGUGAGAUUUUCACCCCAGUCAACUUCAAAUCCCCGUAGCAAAAAAUCAAAACGGUCAACCCCCUACAAAUUUAUGCUGAGGAGAUUGCCAAAUGUGGGUCCCCAUUGUGCCUAUAGAGAUUGGAACCAACGGAAUGUUGAGCAAAAAGCUACAGCCUGUGAUGUUACACCCAUUUAACAUUGAAGUCAAUGGGCAAAUAAUUACUAGUCUGAGUCCUGAUAAGAUGGCAGCCUUGAAGAGUGUUUUUUUUUCCAGUUAUUUAUUUCCUGGAGUUUUGAAUAGGAAUUGUCAGAAAAGGUGCCAGGGUAAUAUUUCAUAGAGUGGAUUGAUUGACCUCAACAAACACAGAUAUUAAAAAAAAAGUUCAAGCAAAACAGGUCUACAUCUCAAAACCCGAUGACUUCCUGGACUGGCUUUAGUAGAACGAUGAUGCAUAUCAAUUUCACCACUGAUCUCUAUGACAACUGUGGUGAAAGUGGAGGACAAAUUGUAAUCAGUUUGGGUUCCAGCUGAGGACCUCUGUAAACUUUGCUUUUUGGUAAUGACUUCAUUUGUUUAUCAUGGCCUCUCAUAUUGGAAGAUAACAUAAAUGGCUUGUGUGUUGACGGUUGUGCAUAUCUCUUGGUCAGGAAAGUUGUAGGCACCAUCACCCUUGUAAAUCAUUUGACAGGCCAGAGUGAACAGGGAGACCCAUGAUUGGUCAGCAAUGUAUCAGAUUCAACACUGGGGGGGGGGGGGG